rnacentral:misc_RNA from 1 species
UUUCCGUAGGUGAACCUGCGGAAGGAUCAUUCAUAAUAAGUGUUUUAUGGCACUUUUUUAAAUCCAUAUCCACCUUGUGUGCAAUGUCAUGGUUGAUUUUUCUCUCGAGAGGAUCGGCCCCAAACAUCAACUAUAUCUCAACUCUUUGUCUGAAAAAUAUUAUGAAUAAAACAAUACAAAAUACAACUUUCAACAACGGAUCUCUUGGCUCUC